GUGCUCACUUUGGCAGCCCAUAUAUUAGAUUAGCCCAUAUGUUAGAUUAGCAUGGCCUCUGCACAAGGAUGACACCCAAAUUCAUGAAGCGUCCCAUAUUUUA